GUAGGGAAUAUUGGGCAAUGGAUGCAAGUCUGACCCAGCCAUCCCGCGUGCCGGAAGAAGGCCCUCAGGGUUGUAAACGGCUUUUGACGGUGAAGAACCGACAGGAUGCGUCCUGUUUUGACGGUAGCCGUUGAAUAAGCACCGGCUAACUCCGUGCCAGCCGCCGCGGUAAUACGGAGGGUGCGAGCGUUGUCCGGAUUUAUUGGGUUUAAAGGGUGCGUAGGCUGGAAGGUCAGUCAGCGGUGAAAAGCUAGAGCUUAACGAUAGUCUUGCCGCAGAUACUUCCUUACUUGGAUGAGGAGUAGGCCACUGGAACGGAUGGUGUAGCGGUGAAAUGCAUAGAUAUCAUCCAGAACACCGAUUGCGAAGGCAGGUGGCUGUACCUUAAUCGACGCUGAUGCACGAAAGCAUGGGGAGCAAACAGGAUUAGAAACCCCUGUAGUCC
rnacentral:rRNA from 1 species